rnacentral:rRNA from 1 species
AUUGAACGCUGGCGGCAGGCCUAACACAUGCAAGUCGAACGAGUGGCGGACGGGUGAGUAAUGUCUGGGAAACUGUCUGAUGGAGGGGGAUAACUACUGGAAACGGUAGCUAAUACCGCAUACCAUCGGAUGUGCCCAGAUGGGAUUAGCUUGUUUGGGGGGUAACGGCUCACCAAGGCGACGAGCCCUAGCUGGUCUGAGAGGAUGACCAGCUGCACUGGAACUGUGACACGGUCCAUAGUCCUGCGGGAGGCAGCAGUGGGGAAUAUUGCACAGUGGGCGCAAGCCUGAUGCAGCCAUGCCGCGUGUAUGAAGAAGGCCUUCGGGUUGUAAAGUACUUUCAGCGGGGAGGCGUUACCCGCAGAAGAAGCACCGGCUAACUCCGUGCCAGCAGCCGCGGUAAUAC